GUGAAGAACGUAGUGAAAUGCGAUAAGUAAUGUGAAUUGCAGAAUUCAGUGAAUCAUCGAAUCUUUGAACGCACAUUGCGCCCGCCAGUAUUCUGGCGGGCAUGCCUGUUCGAGCGUCAUUACAACCCUCAGGCCCCCGGGCCUGGCGUUGGGGAUCGGCGGAAGCCCCCUGCGGGCACAACGCCGUCCCCCAAAUACAGUGGCGGUCCCGCCGCAGCUUCCAUUGCGUAGUAGCUAACACCUCGCAACUGGAGAGCGGCGCGGCCACGCCGUAAAACACCCAACUUCUGAAUGUUGACCUCGAAUCAGGUAGGAAUACCCGCUGAACUUAAGCAUAUCAAUAAGCGGAGGA
rnacentral:misc_RNA from 1 species